ACCUCUAUGCUGUCUCCUACAAAAGGAAGUGUCGUUUGAGUGCAACAAGGCGUGUGAGCAAGCAUUCAACCAUCUCAAGGACCUACUCACUUCGGCACCAAUUGAUAGGAGCAUUUUUAUGCGACUUAAUUGGCUUGUUCUCAUGCAUUUAUGUUGUUUUUCCUUAGUUAGUUUAGUGUUUAAAGUCAUUUUCGUGCAAUUUCAGGUGUUAUGGUCAAAGUGUGCAAAAAGGUGCAUUUUGGAGCAAAAAUGGGCUUGGAAUGGAUUGCAUAUGCAUGGAGCAAGGAGGAUGGACGAAAUUGAAGAUCAAAUGAGGCUAGAAAGAUGUUAGAAGACAUAAGAAAUCAGUUUUGAAGCUUGGAAGACAAAGAAAGACACAAAUUGAAGCAUCCCUACAAAGGUGGCGCCUUGUACCCUUUGUGUUCCCUCCUUGUCUCCCUUGUUGCAACAAAUCCCCUUGCUAUGUUUCCCUAUCCUUAAACCAUGUAAAAACCUUUCCUUUUCCCCUUAGGACUUUGAAAAACCCCUUCCCUUAGUCCUUAGGAUUCAGCCGCACCUUUCCCACCAAUUUCCUUGCCUUGCCGCACAAGGAAUCACCUUUCCCUUUAGUUUUAGGUCACUUACCCCUUUCCUAAGCCUUUGCCACACCUUUGAGAAGAAUCCCUGCCCUUUACUCUUCCUUGCCGUGCAAGGGAGAGCAUUCUUUCCUAUUUCCUUGCAUUCAAAUCAUAUUCCCUUGCCUUUUUCCUCAUGCCGCACCCUUUAACCUAUUUCCCUUAGUAUUUUGGUUCUAAUUUCCUAUUUUCUUUAAGUUUUAGUUUAAUUUCUGAUUACCUAAAUUAUUUUGGAGCCUUGUUCUAUAAAUACUAAGCUUUGCCGCAGCCUUAGGGUGACCAUUCACCAAUUCACACAACUUUACACAAUUCUACCAUCACUACACCUUUGCCGUGCCCAUCCUUCACCCAAUUCCAUACCUUCUAACCCUAAAACACAUCCCAAACACUUGACCCACCUUUGUGCCGUAGCAAGGAGAAAGAAGGAAUGACUCUUGGAUGCUCAAGCUUCAUCGUUGGUGCAUUCUAGGUGUAAUUCGUUUUAUGAUUUCAAUGUUUAAUUUCUUUUCCUUUCGUUUUGCUAUGAACAUGAGUGGCUAAACCCCUAUUGGUUAGGGGUGAUUUCGAAGCCAUGACUAUGUGUGCAAUUUGAUUUGAUAAAUUCCAGUUAUGAGUUCUUGAAUCGUGAAU
rnacentral:lncRNA from 1 species